CCGUCCGAGUUGCGCCGCAGCCGCCGAGGGAGGGCAGGCAGCUCGGGUGUCAACGUGACGGCAGGUGCGGGGCGCGGGGCGCGGGGCGCAGAGCGGGAGGUCUGGCAGCUGGAGGAUCGGGGGCCCCGCCCCCCCAGACUCCAGUCCCAGCGGCCCCCUUCAGGACAGAGUGGGCGUCUCUCCACGGCAGCCUCUGUAGGGACCCCGAGGUCGCAAUCGUGGAAGUAGGUGACUGUGGAGUCCCCUGCCUGGCAGGGAUUGGCCGGCCCUGGAAGGCCAGGAGCCUGGACUCGGGGGUCCCUCCCCCUGGGGGGGGGGGUCCAGCAUCUGUUCCCAGCGAUGAAAAUAAAUCGGAUAAAUUAGGA